GAGCUCUAAAUGAGCUGGAAGCCCACAAAAAUGCUUCUGAGAACAGGGUUCAGUGAAUGGAAAUUGAACUACACUUCCGCAAUCUUGAUGCAACAUUGAAGAGAAAAUUAGAAGAGUUAGAAGCUAGGGAGAAGGAAUACACAGAGAAAGAAUCUGAAACUCUUGCACUGCUUCCAGAAAGAGAGGCAGCUGUUGUCACUAAAGAGCAAGACUUCUUAGACCGAGUGCGGGAAGUAAAGGAUGUUGCUGUUGCUGUCAUUGCAGAGGC
rnacentral:misc_RNA from 1 species